UACGUAGGUGGCAAGCGUUGUCCGGAUUUACUGGGUGUAAAGGGCGUGCAGCCGGGAAGACAAGUCAGAUGUGAAAUCCCGCGGCUCAACCGCGGAACUGCAUUUGAAACUGUUUUUCUUGAGUACCGGAGAGGUCAUCGGAAUUCCUUGUGUAGCGGUGAAAUGCGUAGAUAUAAGGAAGAACACCAGUGGCGAAGGCGGCUCUCUGGUCUGCAACUGACGCUGAGGCUCGAAAGCAUGGGUAGCGAACAGG
rnacentral:rRNA from 1 species